rnacentral:lncRNA from 1 species
GAGAGAGAGCAACAAAGUGACGUAUUUGCAGUGAUGCUGUUGAUAUACCUCAUGGUCUUUGGCUCUUCUUAGGCUCCCAGGAGACAUUUGGCACCUUAGGGCUUUAACACCUCAGACAUUACUCGCAACUCCAUUACUGCUGUCUGCUACAGGCAGGGACAAGUGCAGAGACAAGAGAAAGAUGUAACAGCAUCGGUUCAAAGAGAUGCAAAAAGGUAGGAAAUGACACAAGCAGAAAAGCACUCAACUUGCUGGACUCAUGCCUGGUUGUCACCCAACAUGAGUAGUUGAUACUGUUCAAGCACCGCCA